rnacentral:rRNA from 1 species
UCCUGACUGACCGAUAGUGAACCAGUACCGUGAGGGAAAGGCGAAAAGAACCCCGGCGAGGGGAGUGAAAAAGAACCUGAAACCGUGUACGUACAAGCAGUGGGAGCACGCUUAGGCGUGUGACUGCGUACCUUUUGUAUAAUGGGUCAGCGACUUAUAUUCUGUAGCAAGGUUAACCGAAUAGGGGAGCCGAAGGGAAACCGAGUCUUAACUGGGCGUUAAGUUGCAGGGUAUAGACCCGAAACCCGGUGAUCUAGCCAUGGGCAGGUUGAAGGUUGGGUAACACUAACUGGAGGACCGAACCGACUAAUGUUGAAAAAUUAGCGGAUGACUUGUGGCUGGGGGUGAAAGGCCAAUCAAACCGGGAGAUAGCUGGUUCUCCCCGAAAGCUAUUUAGGUAGCGCCUCGUGAAUUCAUCUCCGGGGGUAGAGCACUGUUUCGGCAAGGGGGUCAUCCCGACUUACCAACCCGAUGCAAACUGCGAAUACCGGAGAAUGUUAUCACGGGAGACACACGGCGGGUGCUAACGUCCGUCGUGAAGAGGGAAACAACCCAGACCGCCAGCUAAGGUCCCAAAGUCAUGGUUAAGUGGGAAACGAUGUGGGAAGGCCCAGACAGCCAGGAUGUUGGCUUAGAAGCAGCCAUCAUUUAAAGAAAGCGUAAUAGCUCACUGGUCGAGUCGGCCUGCGCGGAAGAUGUAACGGGGCUAAACCAUGCACCGAAGCUGCGGCAGCGACGCUUAUGCGUUGUUGGGUAGGGGAGCGUUCUGUAAGCCUGCGAAGGUGUGCUGUGAGGCAUGCUGGAGGUAUCAGAAGUGCGAAUGCUGACAUAAGUAACGAUAAAGCGGGUGAAAAGCCCGCUCGCCGGAAGACCAAGGGUUCCUGUCCAACGUUAAUCGGGGCAGGGUGAGUCGACCCCUAAGGCGAGGCCGAAAGGCGUAGUCGAUGGGAAACAGGUUAAUAUUCCUGUACUUGGUGUUACUGCGAAGGGGGGACGGAGAAGGCUAUGUUGGCCGGGCGACGGUUGUCCCGGUUUAAGCGUGUAGGCUGGUUUUCCAGGCAAAUCCGGAAAAUCAAGGCUGAGGCGUGAUGACGAGGCACUACGGUGCUGAAGCAACAAAUGCCCUGCUUCCAGGAAAAGCCUCUAAGCAUCAGGUAACAUCAAAUCGUACCCCAAACCGACACAGGUGGUCAGGUAGAGAAUACCAAGGCGCUUGAGAGAACUCGGGUGAAGGAACUAGGCAAAAUGGUGCCGUAACUUCGGGAGAAGGCACGCUGAUAUGUAGGUGAAGUCCCUUGCGGAUGGAGCUGAAAUCAGUCGAAGAUACCAGCUGGCUGCAACUGUUUAUUAAAAACACAGCACUGUGCAAACACGAAAGUGGACGUAUACGGUGUGACGCCUGCCCGGUGCCGGAAGGUUAAUUGAUGGGGUCAGCGCAAGCGAAGCUCUUGAUCGAAGCCCCGGUAAACGGCGGCCGUAACUAUAACGGUCCUAAGGUAGCGAAAUUCCUUGUCGGGUAAGUUCCGACCUGCACGAAUGGCGUAAUGAUGGCCAGGCUGUCUCCACCCGAGACUCAGUGAAAUUGAACUCGCUGUGAAGAUGCAGUGUACCCGCGGCAAGACGGAAAGACCCCGUGAACCUUUACUAUAGCUUGACACUGAACAUUGAGCCUUGAUGUGUAGGAUAGGUGGGAGGCUUUGAAGUGUGGACGCCAGUCUGCAUGGAGCCGGCCUUGAAAUACCACCCUUUAAUGUUUGAUGUUCUAACGUGGACCCGUGAUCCGGGUUGCGGACAGUGUCUGGUGGGUAGUUUGACUGGGGCGGUCUCCUCCUAAAGAGUAACGGAGGAGCACGAAGGUUGGCUAAUCCUGGUCGGACAUCAGGAGGUUAGUGCAAUGGCAUAAGCCAGCUUGACUGCGAGCGUGACGGCGCGAGCAGGUGCGAAAGCAGGUCAUAGUGAUCCGGUGGUUCUGAAUGGAAGGGCCAUCGCUCAACGGAUAAAAGGUACUCCGGGGAUAACAGGCUGAUACCGCCCAAGAGUUCAUAUCGACGGCGGUGUUUGGCACCUCGAUGUCGGCUCAUCACAUCCUGGGGCUGAAGUAGGUCCCAAGGGUAUGGCUGUUCGCCAUUUAAAGUGGUACGCGAGCUGGGUUUAGAACGUCGUGAGACAGUUCGGUCCCUAUCUGCCGUGGGCGCUGGAGAACUGAGGGGGGCUGCUCCUAGUACGAGAGGACC